rnacentral:rRNA from 1 species
CCUACGGGUGGCAGCAGUGAGGAAUAUUGGUCAAUGGACGAGAGUCUGAACCAGCCAAGUAGCGUGAAGGAUGACUGCCCUAUGGGUUGUAAACUUCUUUUAUAUGGGAAUAAACUGUUCCACGUGUGGGAUUUUGUAUGUACCAUAUGAAUAAGGAUCGGCUAACUCCGUGCCAGCAGCCGCGGUAAUACGGAGGAUCCGAGCGUUAUCCGGAUUUAUUGGGUUUAAAGGGAGCGUAGGUGGAUUGUUAAGUCAGUUGUGAAAGUUUGCGGCUCAACCGUAAAAUUGCAGUUGAUACUGGCAGUCUGGAGUACAGUAGAGGUGGGCGGAAUUCGUGGUGUAGCGGUGAAAUGCGUAGAGAUCACGAAGAACUCCGAUGGCGAAGGCAGCUCACUGGACUGCAACUGACACUGAGGCUCGAAAGUGUGGGUAUCAAACAGGAUUAGAUACCCGAGUAGUC